AGUGGUUUUAACCUCAGCUAUUGAAAAAGCACACCGUCGGGUUUCCUGCCCGGACCACAGAUUGUAUUGUUGCUGAAAAUGAGCUCGUAGCUCACUGUCUCCGUUGCUAUGGCUAGAAAGAGAAAGAAAAGACAUAUGGAGACAUUUUACCUUUGCAAUGGUGAACAACAAGAUACGUUGUAAACGCUGUGGCUCGAUUUUCUCCGGUAAAAAUACAACCAACUUGAAGAGCUUUCUGCAGGCCAGUCCUCAGGACAUCUACGCAACAGGAGAACAAAUCUCCCUGAGCAGCAGGAGUGGACCUCCAGGAUGGAGCAGGAGAAACCGCAGCCCCCUCACAUUAAAAAGGAAGAGGAGGAGCCACAUCUUACCCACAUUAAAGAGGAAGUUGAUGAGCUACAGCCCCCACACAUUAAAGAUGAAGAGGAGGAACAUAGCAUCAGUCAGAAUGGAGACCAUCUUAAUGGACAAGAGGAGGUUGAUGCCCCCAAGAUGAUAUUGACUGGUGUCAUUGUGAAGAGUGAAGAUAAUGAGGUCAAAAGUGAAAGUGAGGAGAAGAGAGAGGUGGAGCCUCCAAGCAGCAGCUCAACUCAACACAUGACAACAGAAGCUGAUGGAGACCACUGUGGAGGAUCACAAGCAGACAAGCUCUUAGCUCCACUAUCAGAUCCUGACACUGAUGAUGAAGACUCUGAAGCUGAUACAACAUGUCACACUGACAACACACACUUUGAAUGUUCUCACUGUGGCAAAACUUUUAAUCACCGUUGUAAUAUGAGAACACACAUGAGAACACACACUGGUGAAAAACCCUUUUCCUGUUUAAGAUGUGGUAAAUGUUUUACACAAAAUCAUCAUUUGAAAAGACACACAAGAACGCACACUGGAGAAAAACCUUUUAUCUGUUCACUCUGUGGUAGAGGUUUUGUACAAAAUAUUGAUAUGAAGAGACACAUGAUAACACACUCUGGAGAAAAACCUGUUACCUGCUCAAUCUGUGGUAAAGGUUUUGCACGAAAUAGUUAUUUGAAAAGACACAAGACAAUACACACUAGAGAACAACUUUUUAGCUGUUCAAUCUGUGGGAAAGGUUUCACACAAACUAGUCAUUUGAAAUCACACAUGACAAGACACACAGGUAAAAAAAAAUAUUUUCCUGUUCAAUCUGUGCUAAAGGUUUUGCACAAAAAGAUAAAGUGAAAUUUCACAUGAGAACACACUGGUGAGGAAGUGUGAGUUGCAGUGUGUGUGAUGAAAGAUUCUCUCAAAAGUACCAUUGUAAGAAACUGCAUGAAUGAAGCUGCAUGAUUUUCAGUAAACUAUCAAGACUUUGUUAACUUUGACUUUCGAUCAACAUCACCACAUACAGUGCAUCAGGUUAAGUAUUCACAGCGCUUUAAUUUUUCCAGAUUUUAUGUUUCAGCCUUAUCCCAAAAUGGAAUAAAUUACAUUUCAUCCUCAAAAUUACAAUACCCCAUAAUGUCAAUGUGAAAAGAUUGUUUUACUUUUUUCAAAUGUAGUAAAAUAACAAAUCACAUGUACCGCUGCUUCAACAAAGUAUUGAGCAAAGGCUGUGAAUACUUAUGGACUUGUGAUCGUUGUAUGUUUUUAGUAUGUGCAUUAGUACACAACAUUGUGUACAUUUAUUUUUAAAAAACACUAUUCAAUUGAUUGAAAAGGUCUACAAUGUUGACUGAAGCAUCCGCUUGCCCUAACAUUACCUUUGAAUAUUUGUUAAAAAUGAUAUCAACCGAAUAAAACCUAUCCAUCCAAUUUCUACUGCUUGUACCUACCAAUA